AUGGGCUUUUAUUUUUUAAGGGGGGAGGUCUUCAGGCAAUGGCAGCACCCCCUUUUUGCUGUCUACCAAGGAGAGCUGCAAGAGAAAGAAAGAGAGGGGAGCGAAAUUCCUGAAUGGAUAGACAGAUGCUACGUCAUCAGGGCUGCAGCCUCUACUCCACAAGAGGCUAGGAGCUGGGGGGGAGAGAAGCAGACCAGCCGUGGGGGCCUGAGAGACAGACACCUCCUCUUCACAGGAACUGGGGGACCAACACCCAGAUGAAGCAACCAUAUUUGUUUCUGGUACCAUUGUAGGCGGCUCUCCAGCUGGGGCUUCGGACACCCCCCUGCGACCCCCCAGCCUCCGAAUUACAUGCCCGGUGUUGGGGGUGGGGCAUAGAGAAGGAGGGUUGGAGAACCCGACGCUGCAGAAGAGAAGCCAUCGACAGGAGAGGGAGCACAGAGUAAGUGGUCUUUCCGGGCGCAGGGUGGACUCAGGGGACACACUAGGGAAGGGCGGCCAGAGGUGAGGAACCUCUCAGUUCCCGGCGGCCCUCUGACCGGCAUCAAUCCCGUUCAACUCCUUUUUAUUUAGGUCCUUGUGUCCCGCAACCGUCCACACGUGGCUUUGGUGAGGGAUUGCAAUCAUAUAGGUGAAACCUAUUUUUCGGAUUCUCUCGUUGCCCUGGAGGCGAGGUCCUUAAUCCCCACUAUAUCUGCAGCUGCCUCUUACCUUUUAGUUUAGUGCCGAAUCUUUUCGGCCUUCCGCCCAUCCCUAUCUCCCCCGACCUCUCCCGCUUCUCCACCAGCCACAUCAUCCCGAUUCCGAUAAUUACGAUUUCCUUGUUCUCAUCUCCAUUCCCUGUCUACUCCUUCCCCACCAUAUCCUUAUUCCUGUUUUUGCCAUUCAAAUCUACAAACAUUUAUUAUAGACUUACUAUAUACGGGAUUUAUAGUAGAUAACAUCCUCGUCCUCGUCCGCACUAUCCUUAUUCCUGUCUCCCCGUUUCCCCCCCCCCCCCGCAUUAGUCCCAACCCCAGAAUCUCUGAUUUCGGCCCCAUCCCCACCAUCGCAAGUCAUCAACCUUUCCAGUUUCCAUUCCCGAUUCUUUGACCUCUCGAGCCUGCCUCUGCCUCGCUGGGAUUCAGAAUCUCCCUCUGAUUCCUCUGCAUGUGUGAGGGAAGGGUGGAAGCAAUCCCUGGUGUUUUAUUCUUUCCUCUACAGUCCUUAACGCAAAGCUGGGCUUUAGGGCUCCGCUCAGAAUCGGAAUUCCCGCCUCGUUGGACUAAUGGUACUACACUGGGUCCUCACUAGAGCUGAGAUUUCGGUCUUCGCUUCUAACCGAGGCAAAGGGGCAGGUUUCCAAGGCCACCCCUUUUUUUCAGGGGAGAAGGAGAGGAGGGAGCCGGCAUCGUGGGGACCUGUCCGUCGUGGGUCCUUCAUUCAACCUGCCUGAUAAAUCGAAAUAUCAAGCCGGCACUCGUGAGCUCCUCGCUUCUUCGAGCCAGAUUCAUUCCUGGCUCGAGAUUGAGAUCAUAGAAACCUAAGAUCAGGAGCUGAAAGGGCCCUUUGAGAUCCUCUAGCUCAAUUCAUUAUUUUUACAGAAGAGGAAACUGGGAUUGGGGAUGAGAGUGGACGAAGGACUGCGAGAUGGACCAGAACUGGGUAGGGCUUUGUCGUAUCUCGUUCCCCUUUCUUUUUCCCCCUUCCUUCAUAUCAUCCUCCCUCCACCCCCUCCACCUCUCCACCCAGGGUCGGGAACCAUCCGAACCCGGAGGAUGCCCGGAAGUAGUGGUGGCGGUGGAGCCCAGGGGUCUGCUUGGAGGUGGCGGUGGCGUUGACAGCGGCUGCAGCAGGGAGGCGGGGUUGAUUGUUAUCUUUGGUUAUCUAGCUGUAUGAGUGGUGUCGAGUCUUCAUAAAGCUAGAUAACCGAAAGUAAAAAUAACCCCAUACACUGCGGAGCACGAGCCCGAGGGAAGGCGGGCCGGAGCUAGGCGCCCCCGAGCUGAUCCUGGGAAAUGGGGAAAGGGAGGAGAUGGAAGGGAGGGAAACCGAAGCAAGAGCCAAGAGACCAAAAAGGAAAAUCAGAAGGAAAAGAAGAGGAAGAAAAGACGUCUUACUUCUAGUGGGACUUCCGAGAUGGCAGCCACUCAGUCCCCCCCUCCCCAUCUCCAAGCUUCCUAUUUGAUUUGGUCUUGGCAUUCCUCUUCCUUCUCUUCAUUCUGCAGCACAACUCAGCACGUUUGAUAUUGGUAUUCAGCACAUUGGACAGCGCCAGGAUGGAGAGAAGGUGAUAUUGGAUGCCCGUAUUGUGGACUGAGGAUGGACUAGGAAGGACAGUAAGGGGCAUGGGAUAAGCAGAAGUGAAGACAAAGAUGACUCUGAAGUUUCAAGCCAAAAUUCUUCAAAAAGUAAGAAUCAUCCCUGUAACAAAGAUUUUAAAAGGAAGAAGAGGAAUAAAAAUCAGUUAAUCAAAGCCAGCCUUCACAUCUGUUCUGACAUUAUGUGCAAUACUCCAUAUCCAUGGUAUUCUACUUCUACAAAAAAAAGGGAACAGAACAAUAAGAGGACUUAAAGGACAAGGGGCCAAUAGCAUACAGAGGGAGAAGCCUUAACACAAUUGGCCUCCAUGUACCUGAAGCAGCCUUCCAGGAUUGACUGGAGGACAGAUAACGCCAGCUACUAAUCCCAGGGAGAGAGAAAGUGAAGAGAUCUUCCUGUCACCCUCUCCACUGAUAUCCACCCUCCUCCAGGAAGUUUGUCAGGAUUCAUAGAGCAUCAGCCCUUGAAUUGCCUGGUUCCUGUCCGGGAUAAAAGUAUUUGACCUUCAUGUAUACUUAUUGUGUAUCUAAGUUAUAUUUUAAUAUAUUUAACAUCUACUGGUCAUCCUGCCAUCUAGG